AACGGCCAUACCAUGCUGAAUAUACCGGUUCUCGUUAGAUCACCGAAGUCAAGCAUCAUUGGGCGCGGUCAGAACUUGGGUGGGUGACCACCUGGGAACACCGCGUGCCGUU
rnacentral:rRNA from 1 species